rnacentral:ncRNA from 1 species
CAACCUCAACUCAUAUGGGACUACCCCCUGAAUUUAAGCAUAUUAAUUAGGGGAGGAAAAGAAACUAACAAGGAUUUUCUUAGUAGCGGCGAGCGAAAAGAAAUCAGUUCAGCACUAAGUCACUUUGUCUAUAUGGCAAAUGUGAGAUGCAGUGUACGGAACAUCAAC